GAGGAAUAUUGGUCAAUGGGCGGGAGCCUGAACCAGCCACGUCGCGUGCAGGAAGAAUGUCCUAUGGAUUGUAAACUGCUUUUGUAGGGGAAUAAUUGUAUCCACGUGUGGAUAUUUGCAUGUACCUUACGAAUAAGGAUCGGCUAACUCCGUGCCAGCAGCCGCGGUAAUACGGAGGAUCCGAGCGUUAUCCGGAUUUAUUGGGUUUAAAGGGUGCGUAGGCGGACUUAUAAGUCAGCGGUGAAAUUUUGCAGCUUAACUGCAAACGUGCCGUUGAAACUGUAGGUCUUGAGUGUAGAUAAGGUAGGCGGAAUGUGUUGUGUAGCGGUGAAAUGCAUAGAUAUGACACAGAACCCCGAUUGCGAAGGCAGCUUACCGGGUUACCACUGACGCUGAUGCACGAAAGCGUGGGGAUCAAAC
rnacentral:rRNA from 1 species